rnacentral:sRNA from 1 species
GCUGGGCAUGGUGGUGCACACCUGUAAUCUCAGCAGUUAGGGAAGCUGAGGCAGGAGGAUUGUGAGUUCAAAGCCAGCCUCAGCAACUCAGCAAGGCCCUAUGAGACUCAGUAAGACCCUGUCUCUA